UGGCAGACGGCUGAGUAAUACAUGGGAAUCUACCUCAAACUCGAGAAUAGCCCAUCGAAAGGUGGUGUAAUACUCGAUAGUUCCGUUUACGGUAAAGCUCCGGCGGUUUGAGAUGAGCCCAUGUCCUAUCAGGUUGUUGGUAGGGUAAUUGCCUACCAAGCCUAUGACGGGUAGCUGGUUUGAGAGGAUGAUCAGCCAGACUGGGACUGCGAUACGGCCCAGACUCCUACGGGAGGCAGCAACUAGGAAUCAUGCGCAAUGGACGAAAGUCUGACGCUGCGACGUCGCGUGAGGGAUGAAGGUCUUCGGAUCGUAAACCUCUUUUAUCUGGGAACAAGUUCUGAGUGUACCAGAUGAAUAAGUGCCUGCCAACCACGUGCCAGAAGCAUCGGUAAUGCGUGGGGCACGAGCGUUAUCCGGAUUUACUGGGCGUAAAGAGAUGCGUAGGCGCCUUUUUAAGUCACUUGUCAAAUCUCCCCGCUCAACGGGGAAACUGCAAGUGAUACUGAAUUGGUUGAGUCAAGUAGAGGAGAGGGAAUUCCUGGUGGAGCGGUUAAAUGCGUUGAUAUCAGGAGGAAUACCAAGUGCGAAGGCACCUCUCUGGACUUGUACUGACGCUAAGGCUCGAAAGUGUGGGGAGCAAAACGGAUUAGAUACCCGUGUAGUCCACACUGUAAACGAUCCCUGCUAGAUGUUUG
rnacentral:rRNA from 1 species